rnacentral:rRNA from 1 species
GACGUAGGGUCCAAGCGUUGUCCGGAAUUACUGGGCGUAAAGGGCUCGUAGGCGGCCAACUAAGUCAUACGUGAAAUCCCUCAGCUUAACUGGGGAACUGCGUGUGAUACUGGAUGGCUUGGAUUUGGGAGAGGGAUGCGGAAUUCCAGGUGUAGCGGUGAAAUGCGUAGAUAUCUGGAGGAACACCGGUGGCGAAGGCGGCGAUCCUGGACCAAUAUUGACGCUGAGGAGCGAAAGCCAGGGGAGCAAAGCG